AUGGUGUGGUCCAUCCGCUUGCCCCUGAAGAUCCGUAUCUUCAUGUGGCAAUGGAUUCGCGGACGGGUCCCGUCCGGGGUGGAGGUGCGCAAGCGAAAUGGCCCGGGUACUGGCAUCUGCCCGCUCUGUGGGGUCCCCGAAGACUCGAACCACAUAUUCUUCUCCUGCGUAUCCGCCCAGUUCCUUUGGAGCUGCUUUCGCGAAGCGGUCGGUGGAAAUUGGUGCCACACCAACUUCCCGGACCUAUUUGCCGAACUCCAGAUGCCCCCCGUGACUUCUCGCCACAUUAGGUGGCUUGAGAUUGGGGCUCUCGCCUGGACCCUCUGGACUGUCCGCAAUAAGCUUGUGAUUCAGCGCACUCCUCUUCGACAGGCUACUGACGCUCUUUUCAAACUCUCGGGUUUCUUGCAGCUUUGGCGGCCGCUUAGCUGCCCCCUGGACCGCGACGCCAUCUCAGCCUUCAUCGCCGACCUCCGCUCGAUGGCCGUCCGCCUGUCGCCACCGCCCCCGCCGCCACCGCCGGAACUAGACUAG
rnacentral:rRNA from 1 species